UAAAGUGGAGAAAGAGUUUUCCACUAUCGAACUCAAGUCGAAUAAAUCUUGACAUAUGACAGACGAUGGGGUUUGACGAGUUGUCCAUGACCUCCGUCCUGUAGGGAUCCACGAUAGUAGGACUGUAUCACAUGUUAACUGCACCUAGAGGUUUAUCUUUCUAUUCUACUGGGUAGCCACUACAUGCUGCUAGGUGUCACUGGUGGAUGGUGGGACUCAUGGGGAUUAUCUUGAUGAUCGAUAAACCCUAAUGAGUUGAGUUGGAAUCGUUCCAACCCAUUGAAAGGAGUUUUCAAUGAUAUUAUGAUAGAGAUCAUAAUAUAUCUCACUACCAGUCAGAGUAGAACCUAUGGGGUCACACACACUAGAAGUAUUGACCGAUCCGAUGGUUGAAAUCGUGAUUAGGAAUCACAAGUAAUCAAUUUGAUUGAUAAGAAGUUGAAGAAGGAACAAAGGGAAUUAAUUAAUUGGACUUGAAACAAGAGUCCUACUUCGGGUAGGAUUCCUAGAGUCCUAAUUGAAUUAGGACUGGAAAUCCUAGUUGGAGUAGGACUGGGAUUUCUAUUUGGAAUAGGAUUCCUACAAUCCUAAUGAGAUUAGGAAUUUUGAAUUGGAUUCCUACUUGGAGUAGGAUUCCUAGAAAUCCUAAUUGGAUUAGGACUUCGGAUUCAAAUAGAGUCCUAAUUGGAUUAGGACUAAAAUUAAAUACAUCCUAAUUGGAUUAGGAUUCCUUAAGUCUAAAUUAAUUAUUAAUCUAAUGAAUCAACAUGACUCCUA
rnacentral:lncRNA from 1 species